CUUUACAGACUGUUGUAAUGAAAGAACCUAGUGGGGAAACCCCCACUCAAUUCCCGAUUCGGUGUGCACCCAAGAAUCACGAACAGACGA
rnacentral:pre_miRNA from 7 species